rnacentral:rRNA from 1 species
UACCUGCAGCUCGAGUGGUAACCGCUAUUAUUGGGCCUAAAGCGUCCGUAGCCGGUUUGGUAAAUAUCUGGGUAAAUCGUGAGGCUUAACUUCACGAAUUUCGGAUAGACUGCCAGACUUGGGAUCGGGGGAGGUCAGAGGUACUCCAGGGGUAGCGGUGAAAUGUUGUAAUCCUUGGAGGACCACCGGUAGCGAAGGCGUCUGACUAGAACGAGUCCGACGGUGAGGGACGAAGCCCUGGGGCGCAAACUGGAUUAGAUACCCGGGUAGUCCAGGGUGUAAACAAUGUGGGCUUUGUAUUGGAGGUCCCACGUGGGCGUCCAGUGCAGAAGAGAAGUUGUUAAGCCCACCGCCUGGGAAGUACGGUCGCAAGGCUGAAACUUAAGGGAAUUGGCGGGGGAGCACAGCAACGGGAGGAGCGUGCGGUUU